ensembl:snRNA U2 U2 spliceosomal RNA
AUCGAUUCUCAGCCUUUUGGCUAUGAUCAGGUGUCGUCUCUGUUCUUGUCAGUUUAAUAUCUGAUACGUCCUCUAUCUGAGGACAAUAUAUUACUUGGAUUUUUGGAGCAGGGAGAUGGAAUAGGAGCUUGCUCCGUCCACUCCACGCAUUGACCUGGUAUUGCAGCACUUCCAGGAAUGGUGCACACACA